rnacentral:rRNA from 1 species
UACAGAGGUCUCAAGCGUUGUUCGGAUUCAUUGGGCGUAAAGGGUGCGUAGGUGGCGGGGUAAGUCAGGUGUGAAAUUUCGGAGCUUAACUCCGAAACUGCAUUUGAUACUGCCUUGCUUGAGGACUGGAGAGGAGACUGGAAUUCACGGUGUAGCAGUGAAAUGCGUAGAUAUCGUGAGGAAGACCAGUGGCGAAGGCGGGUCUCUGGACAGUUCCUGACGCUGAGGCACGAAAGCGUGGGGAGCAAACAGG